UUAAUUGAGAGUUUGAUCCUGGCUCAGGAUGAACGCUGGCGGCGUGGAUAAGGCAUGCAAGUCGAACGGUCCCGCCUUCAUAUAGCAAUAUAUGUUGGCGGGAUAGUGGCAGACGGGGUAGUAACACGUAGGAACUCACCCCAGAGACGGGUAUAAUCCGGCGAAAGCCGGACUAAUUCCCGAUAGUUCCCGAAAGGGUAAAGGGUCCGACGCAAGUCGCGACCGCUCUGGGAGAGGCCUGCGGGCUAUCAGCUAGUUGGCGGGGUAAUGGCCCACCAAGGCGACGACGGCUAGGGGGAGUGAGAGCUUGGCCCCCACCAAUGGAACUGCGACACGGUCCAUACACCUACGGGUGGCAGCAGCCGAGAAUAUUCGACAAUGGGCGAAAGCCUGAUCGAGCGACGCCGCGUGCAGGACGAAGUCCUUCGGGACGUAAACUGCUUUUUUAGGGGAGGAACGAAAGUGACUGUACCUUAAGAAUAAGGGCUUGCUAACCUCGUGCCAGCAGCCGCGGUAAUACGAGGAGCCCGAGCGUUAUCCGGAUUUACUGGGCGUAAAGGGUGUGUAGGCGGUAUGGUUAGUCCUGCUUUAAAUCUCCGUGCUCAACAUGGAGGCUGGGUGGGAAACGGCCAAACUUGGAUGAUGCCAGAGGCAAGCGGAACUCAAGGUGUAGGGGUGAAAUCCGUUGAUAUCUUGGGGAACACCAAAGGCGAAGGCAGCUUGCUGGGGCAUUCAUGACGCUGAAACACGAAAGCGUGGGGAUCAAAAAGGAUUAACAAAGGCCACAAUUCAAGGGGCCAAUUUUUAAAAAUUGGAGGUGGCGCUAGUCCCCCGUAUGAUUGCGAAAGCUUUCGACGGGUUAAAAAAUUCAACUAUAUGCUGGAAACUCCGAGUAUCUUUAAGUACUGCGAUUUAUCGUAGUGAAAAUCUUGAAGUGCGGACAAUCAGCAGGCAACUUUGCGAAAGCGAAGGAGCCUCAGAGACUACACGUUGAAAUCCAAUAUAAAAAAUUGGAUAUAAUAUAGUCCGAACUCUUCCCGAUUCGAUUUAUCGAAUCGUGGACUCUCGAUUUCAUUAAUUAAAUAUUAAUGUGAAUCGGAGGCAGCGAUGCAGAGAGGCCGGCAGAAAUGCCCGGCCCAACUCAAGAACCCGCCAAAAGCAAAAGCAUUUAGGCGGGCAAGAAAAAUCGGUGCUAAUUUUUGGAAAAAGAAAAACGCGACCCAUUGAGAGUCGCGCAUCUAGAAAAUGGUUUUACCUUCGCCAAGCAUUAAUUACUGCCACGCUGACGCCAAUCAGUGUGCCGGUUCCAGCGUAAAGCGAUAACUUAGAAGGCAAAAGCCAGCCUGUCAAUACAAGUAAAAUGCCGAGUAUAAAGAGCACGGCAACAAUUCUCAUAAGAUAUUCCUUUCUAGAGUUAGAAUAUCAUAUGAAAAGAUAAUUGUCAAGCCAAUCUUGACCCCGCAAAAAGGAGCGGGGCAGGUUCCAAAAAUUAGCACCGAUUAAGUAAAAUUCUUGAGCACUUGGUAACCCGGUUACCAAGCAGUAACAAAAUGUAGAUACCCUUGUAGUCCACGCCCUAAACGAUGACAACUAGCCAUUGGAAGUAUCGACCCUUCGAGUGGCAAAGCUAACGCGUUAAGUUGUCCGCCUGGGAAGUACGAUCGCAAGAUUAAAACUCAAAGGAAUAGACGGGGACUCGCACAAGCGGUGGAGCAUGUGGUUCAAUUCGACGGUAAACGAAAAACCUCACCAGGGCUUGAAAUGGAUUUGACAAUCCGAGGAAACUCGGACUUCUCACAAGGACAAAUUCACAGGUGCUGCAUGGCUGUCGUCAGUUCGUGGCUUGAGCUGUUCCCUUAAGUGGGGUAACGAACGCAACCCCUAUCGUGUGUUACAAGUGUCACACGAGACUGCUCGUCUCAGACGAGAGGAAGGCGGGGAUGACGCCAAGUCAGCAUGGCCCUCUGAUGCCCUGGGCUACACACGUGCUACAAUGGCGCGGACAAUGGGUUGCAAUGCCGUAAGGCGGAGCCAAUCCCACCAAACCGCGCCCCAGUUCAGAUUGAGGUCUGCAACUCGACCUCAUGAAGUCGGAAUCGCUAGUAAUCGCAGGUCAGCUAUACUGCGGUGAAUACGUUCUCGAGUCUUGUACUCACCGCCCGUCAACUCAAGGGAGCCGGGAGUAGAUAAAGCUUCGCUUCGGCGGGGUUAGUCUAAGCUCGGUGACAGGGAGUAAGUCGUAACAAGGCACGGCUAGCGGAAGCUGGUCGUGGAUUAUAAUUUUU
rnacentral:rRNA from 1 species